UUCGACCUCAAAUCAGGUAGGACUACCCGCUGAACUUAAGCAUAUCAAUAAGCGGAGGAAAAGAAACCAACAGGGAUUGCCUUAGUAGCGGCGAGUGAAGCGGCAAAAGCUCAAAUUUGAAAUCUGGCACUUUCAGUGUCCGAGUUGUAAUUUGAAGAAGGUAUCUUUGGGUCUGGCUUUGUCUAGUU
rnacentral:rRNA from 1 species